GACGAACGCUGGCGGCGUGCUUAACACAUGCAAGUCGAACGGAAAGGCUCCAGCUUGCUGGCGUACUCGAGUGGCGAACGGGUGAGUAACACGUGGGUAAUCUGCCCUGCACUCUGGGAUAAGCCUGGGAAACUGGUUCUAAUACUGGAUAUGACCUUUCUCCUUAUGGGGUUUGGUGGAAAGUUUUUCGGUGUAGGAUGAGCCCGCGGCCUAUCAGCUUGUUGGUGGGGUGAUGGCCUACCAAGGCGACGACGGGUAGCCGGCCUGAGAGGGUGAUCGGCCACAUUGGGACUGAGAUACGGCCCAGACUCCUACGGGAGGCAGCAGUGGGGAAUAUUGCACAAUGGGCGGAAGCCUGAUGCAGCGACGCCGCGUGAGGGAUGACGGCCUUCGGGUUGUAAACCUCUUUCAGCAGGGACGAAGCGUAAGUGACGUUACCUGCAGAAGAAGCACCGGCUAACUACGUG
rnacentral:rRNA from 1 species